CUUAUUUUCUUGAUGGUGCUUCUAUCCGUUACCAAAUUUUUCAUUGAAUUGUGUUGUAGGUGAAGUAUGAGUAACCACGAUGAACCCAUGUCUAACUUUUUUGCAUAGCCAGAUGCUCUUGCUUACGGGAAGGGAGAUUUCAAGGGAGGGUGUGGGACGAGUCUUCCUCGUAUGAAACAUCGAUGACGCAAGAGGAAAUAUCAAGAUAGGUGCUUUGGAAGAAGGGGAUAUUUAAGAGGAUUUGAGGCUAGCCCAAAACUCUCUUCCUCCGAUUAUAGAUCAAAUGUUGCAGCAUAACGAGAAGUGGAGAUGCAAAGACUUUAGAUCCAAGGUGGAGAUUACUUUUGGCAUGAAACAUAUUACUAUUGGCGUGGUAUGGAUUACUAGUGGAUAUUUCUUUUUUGUGUAUGGAGGACAUGAUUUUUGUAUAAUUCUCUGUUUGUAUGGAAUUAUUAUUUUAGGUUGGAUUAUAUUUAGUUUGUAUGGAAUUUAACGUUAAAAGACCAAAUUUUUGGAUGGUUGAAAGUGAAAUAGAAACAGGUAUAUGUGUUGUUUUGUUUA